rnacentral:rRNA from 1 species
GACAGAGGGGGCAAGCGUUGCUCGGAAUUACUGGGCGUAAAGGGCGCGUAGGCGGGAUGGCAAGUCGGUCGUGAAAUCCCUCGGCUCAACUGAGGAUCGUCGAUCGAUACUGCCGUUCUUGAGGAUUGCAGAGGAGACUGGAAUUCCCGGUGUAGCGGUGAAAUGUGUAGAGAUCGGGAGGAACACCGGGUGGCGAAGGCGGGUCUCUGGGCAAUUCCUGACGCUGAGGCGCGAAAGCGUGGGGAGCAAACGGG